rnacentral:rRNA from 1 species
CUGCUGCCUUCCGUAGGAGUUUGGUCCGUGUCCCAGUACCAAUGUGGGGGGUUAACCUCUCAGUCCCCCUAUGUAUCGUCGCCUUGGUAAGCCGUUACCUUACCAACCAGCUAAUACAACGCAUGCCCAUCUGUAACCGCCGAAACUUUCAACCACAAGAGAUGCCUCUCAUAGUGUUAUGCGGUAUUAGCACCGAUUUCUCAGUGUUAUCCCCCUGUUACAGGUAGGUUGCAUACGCGUUACGCACCCGUGCGCCGGUCGCCAU